rnacentral:lncRNA from 1 species
AACACUUAAGAUUUCCUUACACCCUUGUUAUGAAAUCGAUUUCCCAAACGAUUUACAUAGUCAGAAUUCAACUUUUGUUGAUUUCUUGUGUUCCAAGCAAUUUGAUACAAGUGUGUGGGAUUUGAAUUGGUGUUCCUGAAAUUUUGCUCAAUUGAAAUAUUAGAUUUAUCAUAUUAAGUAUGAAUAUUGUUGAAUUGUGAAUUAUGUCAAAAUUAGGAAUCAAA